GUUCACAUCGAUCUUGAUGAGGGCUCUGGCCUGCGCGAGUCGCAGCCCUCCUUGUUUGUUGCACUCGUUCACUAAGGCAGCUUUGUAUUCUAAAUAGGCUCCGGGGACCAACCUCACCAUCUGACAGAGCUCUUUCUCCUUCUCGUUCAGUUUCUCCGUCCCUGGCAGCCCGGUGAGGUUCAGUGGCGGGGCACUCCGUCUGC
rnacentral:lncRNA from 1 species